UUGAGAUUUGGAGGUGCAUUAGCAGAGUGCUUCCCCUGCAAAGCAUCGGAGACUUCAUCUCUCCUGCAUUGCCUCAGAUCCAGUAGGACCUCAGCAAAGAAGGGUCAUCUCAAUUCCAGAAAUGCCUGAGGGACCAGCUUCAGCUUCGUUCCAGGCACUUUCCUCAGUCCUGCUUCUCCUACCGCCUGAGAGUAUCAUAAAAGAGGGAAGAAGCUCACAUAAUACCUGGAGGAUAAACAUUGGAGUCUACUAAGCCGACGUCCCAGCAUCCUAGAUUCUAGUCAUUUCCUGUCAAAUGAGCACAAGAAUAGUACCUACACUAUGAGGCUUAUAUGAGGAUUACAUGGGCAAAUGCACAGGGUCUGGCACACAGAAAAUGCUCAAUUACUAUUAGCUAUUUUUCACACUGUUACCCUAUUAAUGAUUGCUAAUGAUAAUUUCUUCUCUCAAA